GUCCUAGCCGUAAACGAUGGGCACUAACUAGAAGUCUCACCUGUGGGAUUUCUGGUGAAGCAAAUGUGAUAAGUGCCCCGCCUGGGAAGUAUGGUCGCAAGGCUAAAAACUCAAAGGAAUUGACGGGGGCUCACACAAGCGGUGGAGCAUGUGGUUCAAUUCGACGCAACGCGAAGAACCUUACCUAGGCUUGACAUGCAGGGAUUAGAUCCGUGAAAGCGGGUCGAUUGCCUUCGGGUGUAACCUGCACAGGUGUUGCAUGGCUGUCGU
rnacentral:rRNA from 1 species